CGGGCACGUCACUUCACUACUCAGCUUCGGCUUCCCCCUCUGUAAAAGGGGUGGUAAUAAGGUAACCCUAAAUGACCUACGUCACAGGGGUUGUGUGGAUUAAUUAGUUGGUACGUGUAAACGCCCUCUGAAGCGGUGUUCUUCCCAGCCGUGUGGGCAGCACUCCAGGUUCAUGGAAACCAGCAGAGGCAGAGCAUGCCGGCUGCACCUGACUGCAGCGUGUCUAACUGCUUCUCCACCUUCAGUGGGGUAAAACGGGGGAGGCAGGCAUACGAUGACAUGCCAAAAAUGCUGCUUCUGCGUGCUUUUGACUGAAAAUCCCUGCAAGCAGCAGGGAGAUGACUGUCACAGUGCCCCUGCUGCCACCACAGGCAAAUGCUUUGCCACCCACUGAAAGAGGCUGGUUACUGCAGCUGAGCCAUUACAUAACAAUGGCAGCUUUCCAGUAGGCAUAGACACAGAACAUGCCACAUCUGUCAUCAGUUAAUGCCAGGAUAGGGGGGCACAGAUCAGCAUUCAUGUCUCACUCCCCGUCGGUAUCCGGCCUGAGCCGAGGAACCCAAUGAUCCAAGCAGCGGACCCAAUUCGGUGAUAAACCCUACUCAUAUGCCACCUGAGGCACAUUGCACAUACUCUAAGAAGAAGAAUGCCAGGUCACUCAUACCUUGCCCUCCUGACCUCAGACACUGCCUCCUGAGCAAAGUGAGGGAUGACUGCUCAUCAGUUCAGAGGAACUUGCCUGUACUGUGAAUAUCAUUAACAUCAAGGACACAUUAAGGACUAUUUGUAAUCGUUUGUCACCAAGGUAAACAGAGAAGCAGAUUUGUGAAUGAAGCUGAUUGGACCGAAAUAUGGGGUGCAGCAAGAAUAGAGACAUUUUUGAGAUGUUACUAGAGGACAGGGAACAGAAUUCUAGGAUGACCUUAACUCUCAGCGAUAAUAGAGUAGAACAAGCCCAUAGUAUUUAUAUGGACUUGUUUAACAUUCCAUGCUGUUUGUAGGUGUAUACGUGGGGUGUCUGUGUUCUCUCUAUAAGAGGAUUUCUGGGCUGUCUGUCCCUUAGGCAGCACCAAUAUUAAGGAGAUAAAAGAUUUUAUAAAUGAAGGCUGUAAUUGUUCGGAUGUGCUGGGAACUAUUUCUAAACAUGCACAUUGGUGACUGAUUUAUACAUGUUGUCUGUGCACUGGAAGAGGAAAGAAAGAUUUGCUGGUACUUAGCAUAACUGUUGCAGGAAGAAAAAAGCAGUGGAGAAAGGUGUGGCAGUGUGUUGUGUUAUCUGUCUGUGCUUAGUAAUGCAUAGCCUCCUUCCUGCAAAGAUAUAGGUCAGACAAACUAUGCACAUAAUUAUAAUUUUUCCUGGUCACUCCAACAACUUAAAAAAUCUGGAUCUGAACACACUGGCAUCACUGAAGUAGUUUGGAUCUGUAGCUAAGACAGUAUCACAGGUCAUUUUCUCUAUAACAAACCAAACACCUGCAUCAGAACCCCCUUGAAUUUUCAGCAUGGCCCAUCUGUAUCCUGAACCAGAUGUGUCUCAUGAUGUGGAGAUGGCAUAACUGUCUCUGUAAAUUCAUCUGGAAUACACAUUAAAGGAACCUAAAUGGAGUAUGUAGUAUUCAUGGUGGGUUUGUGUGUAAUCAAAAUUAUAUGCAGUUUUGCUCACCAUAUUCCUUAGAUGUGAAACUAUCAUUUGUAGUAUUGAGAUGCCCAUGCAGAUGUAGCUAAAAUCCUGCAGUCAUGUUUCCUAAUACGAGAAUAAUCUAACUACCAACUACAGGAGAAGAGAUCCAUAACUAAGUAGAAAUUACAACCAAUUGAAACGGGGAAAACUAAAAAAUAAACCUAAUACACAGUUUCCUUAAGAAGAGGACUCAUGGUUAACAAGUGUCACCCAUGAUGCCCCCCCACACUUUAUGUAAUGGAGUUUUAAAAUAGUUUGGCCAUAACUAUAUUAGCAGCUUUUUGAGUGGAACCCAAGAUGGAACAAUCCCUGUCCCAAGGAUUGUAGUGCAUCUGCAAUUGGUACUGAUGUGCCAUCUACAGAGCAAAAGUCCCCACAUGAAUUCUCACCUAAUGCCAAAAUGGAGAACAGAUGUUUCAUUUUACAAGUAUUGAGGAAAGAUGGCAUCAGGUGCCUCGGGUCCCCAGAUAUCAAAGUCAUCGUUUGAUUUAAGAAUGUAACAAUGAGCAACCAACUGGUAAGAAACAGCUAAGGACCAAUAUCUAAUUGAGACCAGCUGGUGUCCAGGGUUUCUACGCAUGAAUUCAAUUAGUCUCUGCGUCAGUAAUUCUCUGUUCCCACCCUGUCAUGGUUUUGGAAUAAAUACUGUACUAUUGCCAUGGAGCUCCAGGUGCUGAGUGUGUGUCCCGUAGUUAUACAGUCCUUGUCUAGUGAUGUCUUUGUCUUUUUCUUUCUCUCUUUUUAAACUCUGCUUUUAGAUUCUGUUCUCUGGCUUUUCAUGCUUGGAGGUUACCCGUAUAAUUGUGAGCCAGUGAGAACACAAUAAAAGUCAUCAUAAAUUCAGGAUCACAUGGCAUCUAGGUCUGAUGUUCCUUCUUUUACCAUUAUUAAGACGAUAAUAAGCAUGUUUACAUUUUUAUAAUAAUUUUGCACUAUGCAUAGACAGCCUAAUUCUCUGUUGUGCUUAAGCCCCUUUAUGUUGAUUUGGUAGAAUAAAGGAUCCUUAAACCAGAAGGCAGCAAUCACUUCCAGGGACUGCCCCCGGUGUGAGAAGAUUCCCUGGCCAGCUAGAGGUGUCAGAAAGACUUACACCAAGCUCCUCUCUGGUCCCCAGUGCAGGGUGUGUGUCAGAGGGGAAGGGCUGUGCCUUUAAGGGAUCAUUGUUGGACCAAAUAUAAGUUUGAGCUGCUGAACAGCCAUCAAUCCUUCUUAAGUCAAUGGGAACUUCGAGCGCUUCGUACAUCUGCAAAUCAGGCCACUGCAUUAGAAGGAAGAUUUUCAAAGGCACACAUGGAAGUGAAGCACCCAGCUUCCAUAGACUUUUACUGGGAGCUGGACAACUAACUGCGCUUCCUACCUUUGAAAAUCUCCCUCUGGAACCAAAAUACGUAUUUAGGAGUCCUUUGAACAGUUUGCCUUAAAUAUUUGAGACUACAUUUCUAACCUAGGCAAAAUGCAUUCUAAUUUCUGCAAUGCUGAAUACUGGCUCCUCUUACUCACAGUGCCAAACUUCACUGAUAGUAUUGCAUCUGAAACCACCAACUUACAAUUAUGUAACAGUAGCAUGGUUUUAAAAGAUGCUGUCCUUGUAAUAGGACACAUGAGGGUGGAAAUUACCAUUUGUCUGACCGCUACCAAACUUUAGAGCUGACAAACAGCUGUUUUCUUGUCUAAGGAAGUUCGUUCAUGCAGAAUUCAGAAAAUUAGCUACUAUGAUCAUUCAAAUCUAAUCGUUGAGCUUUUUAGCCCUUUUUAAAAUAUAUAUAUUUAAAGGUGUGGUUCAGUACCCCAUGCUGUGUUUACCAAGCUGUGUAUUUACACUUAUUUACUACUUUUCAGAAUUCAAAGUGAUUAGGGAAAAAUGGAAGAAUUCAUGCUGCAGGACAGGUCUGAACAAAGAAGAGCAGAACAUGCAGGGAGACGCUCAUUUACUGCUUGCUGCUGCCGUUUCUGGAAAGUACAUGUUCCAGUUGCAGUUUCCUAUGGAACGUCUUUACCAAUGAAGAGACCAUCAGGAUCUAACUGCUGUAUCUGGAAACCCUUGGGGGAGAGAAGCACAUUUCUAGCUUGUUAUUCUGCCUGGAUGAGAUUGGAAGCUCAUUACCGAAUUAGAAGAUUAUAAACCUAACAACACACAGCUAAAUUUCAGGUUUCCAAAGUCAUUCUUCAUAACUCCCCUCUCCCCCCCCCCCCACCCAAUAGACUGCAGCCCCUUUGUCAGAUAAACUUUCUAAAGAACAGCACUGAAGAGGAAGGCAGGAGGGAAAGAGCAGCAGAGUGGAGUGAUUAGAAAAUGGAACAGGUUCUCAUUGGGGUGCAGAGCAUGUACGAAUUACUCGAGACAUUAUGGAUGACAGGCAUCAUUUCAUCCUGGAUCCCACCGUGACUGUAAACUUGCUCAUCUGCAUUUGCUACAGGCCUAGAAUAUUUUACAGUUAAAGUUAUCUUAAGCACCAUUAUUUCCUCCUUUUUCUCAAGAAGGCUCUGGAAUGGACACCUGAUCAAGAAGACCACUGUACCCAUUUUUCCUUCAUGAUGGAACUGCCUAUUAUCGCUGGCUUGAGGAAUUGGUGGUGGACUACAGCGCUGUACGUCACUAGUUCAACUGUGACGCCAUUCAGCAUGAAUAAAAAUUGGUGAAUGAUGAGAAUGGAAUGGAUCCGCUACCUAUAGCAUUUUUUUAAUACUACCCUAAUCAUUGUGGUACCCAAACUCCUAAUGACAAGAAUUGCAAAAACAACCCAAAAUGUGCUAUUAGAGGUUGGACUGCUUAGUGCCCUUAUCCAUUGAAUGAACUUAGAGACUCAGUUAUCCUCCUACCCGUAUGGACAUUUGCUCCAGGACAGGGUUUUGGAGUAGCAUGGGAGAAGCUGUUGUUGCUCUAUUUGUGGAAUGGGUGUGGCAUGGACAUCAGCACUUCCGUCUCCUGCAUUAAUUCGCUUAUUUUUUAAAGGAAUGUUAAAGAAUAUGUAUGUAUGUAUAUAAAUAUAAAUAAAAUAUUACCCAUUUCAAGUUACUUUGAGACAGAUUAGGAGUCAGCUGGCUGUAGCCAAAGUUGCGACUAGCAUUUUUGGGAAAAUACCUUAUUGAAUCAAAAGAGGUCAAGUGUAACAUGUGAAAUGCAUGGCUAGGGUGUGCAGAGAUGCAGUGCAGCAGGACUGUGGGGUUUUCUCUUUUAAACCAAGUUUCUGUUAUCCCUGAAGGGAGAACCAAAGUCAUUUAACUUCUUAACAUAAAAGAAGAGACAGAAGGAAAACUUCCUCCUUUGCCUCUUUCAGGUUGUGGCAUUUCUAGAAAGCUGCUGAAUCACAUCCUUAUGAUACAUCGUCAUGGAAAUGGGCCCCCUCAGAUUUCACUCAUGGAAGCAGCAUCCUAUUUACUUACAUUUCAUAGAUGGUUAAGUCCAGAAGAGACCUUUCUGAUCAUCUAAUAUGACCUCCUGCCAACACAGGCCAUAACUCCUGCUUUGGAGCAAAUUUAUUUUCACCAGUACUCCCUAUUAUAAUAUGAAACUAAAUUAUUUCUAAAUCUUCCUUUAGCGUGUGUGUGUGUAUAUAUAUAUAUAAAGCAUGCACACUUGCAUCUAACCUUCCCCCCUCCUCAUUAGAUUCAGACCUGGGUGUGAUGCAUAUGUUACUCCUGGGGGAAUUCUGUGUCAUUGCGUGUGCACAGAAUUUAUGUCCUCCCACAGAUUUCUUUAUUUCCCAACAGAAAAAUGAUUUCUGACAAGGAAGCAGAGGGAAGCCACAAGAGCGGUCACGCAGCCCCUCCCUGGCAGCGCAGGCAGGUUGCAGUCAGUUGAAAAUUAAAUCACCACCGGUUGGGGGCGGGGGGUUGGACAGUCAUACAUGAGAGAGAGAGAGAGAGACACUCUGUCCCUCACUCGCUAUUGCAGCAUGCUUGGCAUGGAAGGGUGGGGCUUUGGAGUGUUUCUGAGGAGGUAGGCAUGGGGCAGGCUCUGGCCCCUCAGGCAGAGCAGAAUGUAGCACCCUGCCUGAUUAGUGAGUUGUUCCCAUUGUCUUUGUGAAUUCCUCCAGGAGUAUAAAACAGGUGUAAAUGUUGUAAGGCUCCUUUACAUUGCCAGAGUGGUGUAAAGGACAAUAUGGCCUUAUAAAUGCUUAUGGUGCUUUAGUGAUUAGAACUGGUCUAAAUGUUUGGUCUGAAAAUUUUCCUAUCAAAAUGUGCUCCAUGAACUGUUUGCUACUGACCUUUAUGGAGAUGGUCAGUAGCCAAUAUAAAUUGUGAGUUUGAUUACCCAGCCCUCACUUGCUCUUCAGUUGCCGAUGAUGUAACACCAAGCAUAUGGCUGCAUAUAUGGUUGACUAAUAACUAGAAAUAAAAAGGGUCAAACCUAGCUACAUUACCA